GUGAAGAAAUCGACGCAGUAGAAAACAAAUCUUCGGUGGGAGUUUUGAAGUCUAAUUUUAAUCUACACCGCGUCUGCUUGGUCGUAAACCGUCACGAUCGUACACUGUGAUUAUUUUGUCGAGAACAACGGAUCGUAUUUCCGAAGAUCAAAAAAAGAAUCUAUUAUCAGCGAAAAAUGCCAUUGCGAAAAAGUGAGGCUUUGGGUGAGUUUCAUCAACUUGUACAUGACAUUACCUCGACAAAGACAUUCGUCGAACAAUUCCAGUGUCUCAGUAAAAAAUGCGAUAGACGUGGUAUGAUAAAAAUUCUCCUGGAUAUCGCAGAAGUUGCACAAUUACGAGUUCAAGAAUCAUAUCAUGAGAAGGAUGAUGAAGAGGCUGAAAAAAUUUACAGAACGUAUCAAACUCUUCCAAUGGAUAGAAAUGAUCGUGGAAUUUUCGUACGAACAAGUUUUCUUACGAAAGCAUUUUUUGCAGCGACUCCAAGGAGCAUGUUGUUUAAAGAUAUUCUUCUUGAACGUGCCCGAUGCUGGUACUCCGCGAAUUUGUUUACCAGAUGCUUGAAAGAUUGUGACUAUUUAAUGAACAUUUUGAAUGGAACAGAAAAUGAUCUCAUAGACAGCAUUCCAUUGCAUAAUCAUAAAAUGAAUGUGGAAUGUACCGAGCUCAUAUCGAAAUGUAUUGAAUCUCUUAAGCGUGCUAACAAAGCAUCCCGAAAAGCGCCGAACAAGAUUGUGCCUUUACCACACAUCGAAGGCAAAUUGAACUCGAAAAUGCCAAGCUGCAGUAACUCUGUAAUUCAGUGUUACGACAGAAUAAGAGGUAGGCACCUCGUUUCGACGAGAAAUAUAAAGACUGGUAGUGUGAUACUGAUCGACCAACCUUUUUCCUUCAGUACCGAUAUCCAGUCGCUUUCAACAAACUGUUUGCACUGUCACAUAUCGCUCAACCUUCAAGAUAAUGUUCGGAUACCCUGCCAAAAUUGUCAAACUGUGUCGUAUUGCUCGAAUCGUUGUCGGCAACAAUCCUGGCAAAAAUAUCAUAAAUACGAAUGUAAGAUUUUCGAUUACUUUUACGAGAUCAAUGGUCGCGAAGUCAAUCCUGCCCAACAACGCAGAUCACAUUUGUUGCUUGCUUGGAGGACCACCAUCGAGAGUGCGAUCGAUAAAACGAGAGAUUGUUUACGUGAUGAUUGGCUCAGUUAUCAGGAGUCGUCGAGCAACCAGGAUAACAAUAGUCGAGAAACGUAUUUCUCAAUUGAUCCAUAUGAUUCUUCUUGCUAUCAGACGGUUUUUGCUCUUGAAACCCAUUGUUCCGAUUCUUCGACGAUCAUUAAUCUUUCACGAUCCGUGUGCUCGAUAUUUUUCACCAAAUGUUUAGAACUUGUUUUCUUACAAAAUCAUCCAUCCUCUACUGCUUCGAUCGAUACAAAUAAAUUGUUACUGGUUGCUGUUGGAAUGCUUCGACAUAUGCAAUCAGUAGAUUGUAACGCUUAUGAAAUUGUGGAAAACAUAAGGGAUGAAACGACAAGAAUUUGGGGACCGCGCAAUGUUGGAGGAGCAAUUUAUCCCACUGUGAGUUUGAUAAAUCACGGUUGUUACCCAAAUGUCGUCCGACACUCUUAUCCUCAUGCAUAGAAAAAAAUUAUCAAAAUCGGAGGCGGACACCAAAGUACCUUUCUUUAUAAGUCGCUCGAGCGGGGCUGCGGAACGCGAGGGGGUACCCCCACCGCCGUGCCCGGGAGAACGGCCGUCGCCGCACUCUCGGCCGUGCGCCGUCGAGAGUAAAUUACAUGGAUAACCGUGAUGACAAAAUCCCUGUGGAGGUAAAGUUGUUGUUCGAGCCAUACGUUACAUCAAAAAAGGUGCAGAGAUACUGGAUUGCUAUGGGCCACAUUUUGUUAGUGAUAAUGCAUCUCACCGACAGCAUUAUUUGCGAGAUAAAUAUCAUUUCACAUGU
rnacentral:misc_RNA from 1 species